UGGAUGUGGUAGGCUACUGUCGCUGAAGGCCGCCCUUCGCUUCUUCUUCUUCUUCCCGGGGGUUUCGAGGCAGAACGCAUGCGGCUCAAGUCGCCGUGCUGCCCUCUACAGGAAGUGUUUCCUUGGAUUAAACCCAUUUCUCAAGAAUGCCAUCACAAACAGCUGUGGUUUUCCAAGUCGUCUGUUUAAUCUGUUAAGACACUGUUGACUGCAAAGCUCCCCAGUGCCAUGCAGUUAUCUUGGCCGCUCCGUUCUGCCAGGAGGAGGCGCUUAUCUCAAACUGUGAGCUCAAAAAGAGCAGCGUCACAGAGGAGCCUCAUGCCACACCGGAUCGAGCAUACGUCCCU